UACGUAGGGGGCAAGCGUUGUCCGGAAUUAUUGGGCGUAAAGAGCGUGUAGGCGGCCGGAUAAGUCCGGUGUGAAAGUCACAGGCUCAACCUGUGAAUGCCGCUGGAAACUGUCUGGCUAGAGUCCGGAAGGGGCGAGUGGAAUUCCUGGUGUAGCGGUGAAAUGCGCAGAUAUCAGGAGGAACACCUAUAGCGAAGGCAGCUCGCUGGGACGGUACUGACGCUGAGGCGCGAAAGCGUGGGGAGCGAACAGG
rnacentral:rRNA from 1 species